GGAACCAUAGCUCAGCUGGUUAGAGCGCACGCCUGAUAAGCGUGAGGUCGGUGGUUCGAGUCCACUUGGUUCCA
rfam:Oribacterium sp. oral taxon 078 str. F0262 genomic scaffold Scfld0, whole genome shotgun sequence.